UGGGGAAUCUUGCGCAAUGGGCGAAAGCCUGACGCAGCAACGCCGCGUGCGGGAUGAAGGCCUUCGGGCUGUAAACUGCUUUCAGCAGGAACGAAAAUGACGGUACCUGCAGAAGAAGGAGCGGCCAACUACGUG
rnacentral:rRNA from 1 species